UACAAAACCAGCUGAAAAGCAUGCGCCAAGCUGCAGCAGAUGCAAAGCCUGAAAGUUUAAUGAAGAGGCUAGAGGAGGAGAUAAAAUUUAAUUUAUAUAUGGUAACUGAAAAAUUUCCUAAAGAAUUAGAAAAUAAGAAAAAGGAAUUACAUUUUUUACAAAAAGUAGUUUCAGAGCCAGCUAUGGGCCAUUCUGAUCUUCUUGAACUUGAAUCUAAAAUAAAUGAAAUAAACACAGAAAUUAACCAGUUGAUUGAAAAGAAAAUGAUGAGAAAUGAGCCCAUUGAAGGCAAACUCUCACUGUAUAGGCAACAGACAGAGUCUUUCCCUGUCACCCAGGCUGGAGCGCAGUGGCGUGGUCUCAGCUCACUGCAACCCCCACCUCCCGGGUUCAAGCGAUUCUCCUGCCUUAGCCUCCUGAGUAGCUGGGAUUACAGGCAUCUAUCAUUUCCCGUAAAAAAGAAGCCAAAGCUGAGGAACUUCAGGAGGCCAAGGAGAAGUUAGCCAGCCUAGAGAGAGAAGCAUCAGUAAAGAGAAAUCAGACCCGUGAAUUUGAUGG
rnacentral:sRNA from 1 species